rnacentral:rRNA from 1 species
GGGUGAGCGGCGGACGGGUUAGUAACGCGUGGGAACGUGCCCUUCUCUAAGGAAUAGCCUCUGGAAACGGAGAGUAAUACCUUAUACGCCCUUCGGGGGAAAGAUUUAUCGGAGAAGGAUCGGCCCGCGUUAGAUUAGAUAGUUGGUGGGGUAACGGCCUACCAAGUCUACGAUCUAUAGCUGGUUUUAGAGGAUGAUCAGCAACACUGGGACUGAGACACGGCCCAGACUCCUACGGGAGGCAGCAGUGGGGAAUCUUAGACAAUGGGCGCAAGCCUGAUCUAGCCAUGCCGCGUGAGUGAUGAAGGUCCUAGGAUCGUAAAGCUCUUUCGCCAGGGAUGAUAAUGACAGUACCUGGUAAAGAAACCCCGGCUAACUCCGUGCCAGCAGCCGCGGUAAUACGGAGGGGGUUAGCGUUGUUCGGAAUUACUGGGCGUAAAGCGCGCGUAGGCGGAUCAGAAAGUAGGGGGUGAAAUCCCGGGGCUCAACCCCGGAACUCCCUCCUAAACUCCUGGCCUUGAGUUCGAGAGAGGUGAGUGGAACUCCGAGUGUAGAGGUGAAAUUCGUAGAUAUUCGGAAGAACACCAGUGGCGAAGGCGGCUCACUGGCUCGAUACUGACGCUGAGGUGCGAAAGUGUGGGGAGCAAACAGGAUUAGAUACCCUGGUAGUCCACACCGUANACGAUGAAUGCCAGUCGUCGGGCAGUAUACUGUUCGGUGACACACCUAACGGAUUAAGCAUUCCGC